rnacentral:rRNA from 1 species
GUGGGGAAUAUUGGACAAUGGGGGCAACCCUGAUCCAGCAAUGCCGCGUGUGUGAAGAAGGUCUUCGGAUCGUAAAGCACUUUCGACGGGGACGAUGAUGACGGUACCCGUAGAAGAAGCCCCGGCUAACUUCGUGCCAGCAGCCGCGGUAAUACGAAGGGGGCUAGCGUUGCUCGGAAUUACUGGGCGUAAAGGGCGCGUAGGCGGCUCUGUUAGUCAGGCGUGAAAUUCCUGGGCUUAACCUGGGGACUGCGCUUGAUACUGCGGAGCUUGAGGCCGAGAGAGGGUGGUGGAAUUCCCAGUGUAGAGGUGAAAUUCGUAGAUAUUGGGAAGAACACCGGUGGCGAAGGCGACCACCUGGCUCGGUUCUGACGCUGAGGCGCGACAGCGUGGGGAGCAAACAGGAUUAGAAACCCGGGUAGUCC